UGAGGAAUAUUGGUCAAUGGGCGAGAGCCUGAACCAGCCAAGUAGCGUGAAGGACGAAGGCCCUAUGGGUCGUAAACUUCUUUUAUAGGGGAAUAAAGUUCGGAACGUGUUCCGUUUUGUAUGUACCCUACGAAUAAGGAUCGGCUAACUCCGUGCCAGCGGCCGCGGUAAUACGGAGGAUCCGAGCGUUAUCCGGAUUUAUUGGGUUUAAAGGGAGCGUAGGUGGAUAUAUAAGUCAGCUGUGAAAGUUUGCGGCUCAACCGUAAAAUUGCAGUUGAUACUGUAUAUCUUGAGUGUACAAGAGGUGGGCGGAAUUCGUGGUGUAGCGGUGAAAUGCUUAGAUAUCACGAAGAACUCCGAUUGCGAAGGCAGCUCACUAGCGUACAACUGACACUGAGGCUCGAAAGUGUGGGUAUCAAACA
rnacentral:rRNA from 1 species